rnacentral:rRNA from 2 species
GCCUGCGCGGAAGAUGUAACGGGGCUAAACCAUGCACCGAAGCUGCGGCAGCGACACUGUGUGUUGUUGGGUAGGGGAGCGUUCUGUAAGCCUGUGAAGGUGUGUCGUGAGGCAUGCUGGAGGUAUCAGAAGUGCGAAUGCUGACAUAAGUAACGAUAAAGCGGGUGAAAAGCCCGCUCGCCGGAAGACCAAGGGUUCCUGUCCAACGUUAAUCGGGGCAGGGUGAGUCGACCCCUAAGGCGAGGCCGAAAGGCGUAGUCGAUGGGAAACGGGUUAAUAUUCCCGUACUUGGUGUUACUGCGAAGGGGGGACGGAGAAGGCUAUGUUGGCCGGGCGACGGUUGUCCCGGUUUAAGCGUGUAGGUGUGUGUUCCAGGUAAAUCCGGUUCACUUUAACACUGAGGCGUGACGACGAGGCACUACGGUGCUGAAGCAACAAAUGCCCUGCUUCCAGGAAAAGCCUCUAAGCAUCAGGUAACAUCAAAUCGUACCCCAAACCGACACAGGUGGUCAGGUAGAGAAUACCAAGGCGCUUGAGAGAACUCGGGUGAAGGAACUAGGCAAAAUGGUGCCGUAACUUCGGGAGAAGGCACGCUGACACGUAGGUGAAGUGAUUUACUCAUGGAGCUGAAGUCAGUCGAAGAUACCAGCUGGCUGCAACUGUUUAUUAAAAACACAGCACUGUGCAAACACGAAAGUGGACGUAUACGGUGUGACGCCUGCCCGGUGCCGGAAGGUUAAUUGAUGGGGUCAGCGCAAGCGAAGCUCCUGAUCGAAGCCCCGGUAAACGGCGGCCGUAACUAUAACGGUCCUAAGGUAGCGAAAUUCCUUGUCGGGUAAGUUCCGACCUGCACGAAUGGCGUAAUGAUGGCCAGGCUGUCUCCACCCGAGACUCAGUGAAAUUGAACUCGCUGUGAAGAUGCAGUGUACCCGCGGCAAGACGGAAAGACCCCGUGAACCUUUACUAUAGCUUGACACUGAACAUUGAGCCUUGAUGUGUAGGAUAGGUGGGAGGCUUUGAAGUGUGGACGCCAGUCUGCAUGGAGCCGACCUUGAAAUACCACCCUUUAAUGUUUGAUGUUCUAACGUGGACCCGUUACCCGGGUUGCGGACAGUGUCUGGUGGGUAGUUUGACUGGGGCGGUCUCCUCCUAAAGAGUAACGGAGGAGCACGAAGGUUGGCUAAUCCUGGUCGGACAUCAGGAGGUUAGUGCAAUGGCAUAAGCCAGCUUGACUGCGAGCGUGACGGCGCGAGCAGGUGCGAAAGCAGGUCAUAGUGAUCCGGUGGUUCUGAAUGGAAGGGCCAUCGCUCAACGGAUAAAAGGUACUCCGGGGAUAACAGGCUGAUACCGCCCAAGAGUUCAUAUCGACGGCGGUGUUUGGCACCUCGAUGUCGGCUCAUCACAUCCUGGGGCUGAAGUAGGUCCCAAGGGUAUGGCUGUUCGCCAUUUAAAGUGGUACGCGAGCUGGGUUUAGAACGUCGUGAGACAGUUCGGUCCCUAUCUGCCGUGGGCGCUGGAGAACUGAGGGGGGCUGCUCCUAGUACGAGAGGACCGGAGUGGACGCAUCACUGGUGUUCGGGUUGUCAUGCCAAUGGCACUGCCCGGUAGCUAAAUGCGGAAGAGAUAAGUGCUGAAAGCAUCUAAGCACGAAACUUGCCCCGA